rnacentral:rRNA from 1 species
CAGUCGCCGCGGUAAUACGGAGGGCGCAAGCGUUAAUCGGAAUUACUGGGCGUAAAGCGCACGCAGGCGGUCUGACAAGUCAGAUGUGAAGUCCCCGGGCUUAACCUGGGAACUGCAUUUGAAACUGUCAGGCUGGAGUCUUGUAGAGGGGGGUGGAAUUCCAGGUGUAGCGGUGAAAUGCGUAGAGAUCUGGAGGAAUACCGGUGGCGAAGGCGGCCCCCUGGACAAAGACUGACGCUCAGGUGCGAAAGCGUGGGGAGCAAACAGGAUUAGAUACCCCUGUAGUCCCUGUCUCUUAUAC